UCAUCUUCGGGGGUAGAGCACUGUUUCGGCUAGGGGGUCAUCCCGACUUACCAACCCGAUGCAAACUACGAAUACCGAAGAAUGUUAUCACGGGAGACACACGGCGGGUGCUAACGUCCGUCGUGAAGAGGGAAACAACCCAGACCGCCAGCUAAGGUCCCAAAGUCAUGGUUAAGUGGGAAACGAUGUGGGAAGGCACAGACAGCCAGGAUGUUGGCUUAGAAGCAGCCAUCAUUUAAAGAAAGCGUAAUAGCUCACUGGUCGAGUCGGCCUGCGCGGAAGAUGUAACGGGGCUAAACCAUGCACCGAAGCUGCGGCAGCGACGCUUAGGCGUUGUUGGGUAGGGGAGCGUUCUGUAAGCCUGCGAAGGUGGCCUGUGAGGGCUGCUGGAGGUAUCAGAAGUGCGAAUGCUGACAUAAGUAACGAUAAAGCGGGUGAAAAGCCCGCUCGCCGGAAGACCAAGGGUUCCUGUCCAACGUUAAUCGGGGCAGGGUGAGUCGACCCCUAAGGCGAGGCCGAAAGGCGUAGUCGAUGGGAAACAGGUUAAUAUUCCUGUACUUGGUGUUACUGCGAAGGGGGGACGGAGAAGGCUAUGUUAGCCGGGCGACGGUUGUCCCGGUUUAAGCAUGUAGGCGGAGGUUCCAGGUAAAUCCGGUACCUUUUAACGCUGAGGUGUGAUGACGAGGCACUACGGUGCUGAAGUAACAAAUGCCCUGCUUCCAGGAAAAGCCUCUAAGCAUCAGGUAACAUCAAAUCGUACCCCAAACCGACACAGGUGGUCAGGUAGAGAAUACCAAGGCGCUUGAGAGAACUCGGGUGAAGGAACUAGGCAAAAUGGUGCCGUAACUUCGGGAGAAGGCACGCUGGUGUGUAGGUGAAGUCCCUGCGGA
rnacentral:rRNA from 1 species